GGUAAGAUAGCUCAGUGGUUAAGUGUUUGCCUAGCAUGGAAAAGGCCCUGAGUUCGACCCUCAGUACCA
rnacentral:tRNA from 1 species